AUAUUCCUUUAAGCAGUUUCGGGGGAUCUGACCCAUUUGGUGACUUUAGCUCCUCUAGUGCACCACCACCACCUGUACACAGCUCCACUGGAAAUAUCAGCACGUCAAGUCAGAACCUUGAGGCAGCAUCGGACUUUGGUGCCUUUGAAUCAAACACCGCGGAUACAGCUAAAGACCCCUUCGACUUUUCUUCCACUGGCAAUUUUGGCAAAGCAGAUGUAGCACCUUUGGCAGCUCCCAAAACUGAUGCGUCUGAUUUUGGUGCCUUCGUUACAAACACUGAAGAAGCAGCUAAAGACCCCUUCAAUCUUUCUUCAAGUAUUAAUGGAAGGGCAGACCAAACACCUUUGGCAGCUCCCAAGUCCAACACCAAGAAAGAAAAUUUUCAGGUCAAAUCUGGCAUAUGGGCUGACUCUUUGAGCCGUGGAUUGAUUGAUCUGAACAUAACUGGACGUAAGUUCCUUCUCUCAUUUCCUCGCCCUGUUAGAAACAUGAUUGCAGAAGUGUUGAUGUCUCUGUUGACUGUGC
rnacentral:lncRNA from 1 species